rnacentral:pre_miRNA from 1 species
GAUGUCCAUUGCUAGCUCAGUAUUCAGUGUAGAGUCUGUGUGAUAUUCAUACACAGCUACAUCUGAUUACUGGGUCAAUAAUGACAUCAUAAGCAAC